rnacentral:rRNA from 1 species
GCAGUUGACGGGGGAUAUAGAAGGGGUAACCUGGAGAUAUCUUUAGUAGCGAACGGGUGAGUAACGCGUAGACAACCAACCUCAUAGAAGGGGACAACACCGAGAAAUUGGUGCUAAUACCGUAUGUUGUGCAGAGGACGAAUGUUUUUUGUACUAAAGAUGGCUGAGCUUGAUGCUAUCGCUAUGAGACGGGUCUGCGUAUGAUUAGCUAGUUGGAGUGGUAACGGCACACCAAGGCGAUGAUCAUUAGCCGGUCUGAGAGGAUGAACGGUCACACUGGAACUGAGACACGGUCCAGACUCCUACGGGAGGCAGCAGUGGGGAAUCUUCCACAAUGGGCGAAAGCCUGAUGGAGCGACGCCGCGUGAGAGAAGAAGGCCUUCGGGUUGUAAAUCUCUGUCUUCGGGGAAGAAUGUGUACUUUGUGAAUAAUGGAGUAUAAUGACGGUACCUGAGGAGGAAGCCACGGCUAAC